rnacentral:rRNA from 1 species
CAAGAUUAAGCCAUGCAUGUCUAAGUAUAAAUUCUUGUACGAUGAAACUGCAGACGGCUCAUUACAACAGUGAUAAACUGCUAGACUUUCGGGUUUUUAACCUUUUGGAUAACCGCAGUAAAUCGGGGCUAAUACAUAGAAGCGAUGGGUGACUGGCAACGGAAGCUCAGCGAUUAUUAGCGUUACUACCAAUACCUUCGGGUCUUGUGGUGAAACCGAAUAAUAUUGCAGAUCGAGGAUUUAUCUUCGACAAGUCUACUGUGUCACUGCCCUAUCAACUUUCGAUGGUACGGUAUUGGCCUACCAUGGUUGUAACGGGUAACGGGGAAUUAGGGUUCGAUUCCGGAGAGGGAGCCUGAGAAAUGGCUACCACUUCUACGGAAGGCAGCAGGCGCGCAAAUUACUCAAUCCCAAUACGGGGAAGUAGUGACAAUAAAUAUCAAUACCUAUCCUUUUUGGAGGGCAAUUGAAAUGAACACAAAUUAAAACUCUUAAUUAACACAAUUGGAGGGCAAGUCUGGUGCCAGCAGCCGCGGUAAUUCCAGCUCCAAUAGCAUAUACUAAAGUUGUUGCAGUUAAAAAGCUCGUAGUUGAAGUUAAAGUUAUAUUGGGCUCAAGUUUUUUACCACUCUGGUGGCUAAAACAACUCCAAUAUUUCUUUUUUUAAUAGCUCAGUUUCUAGGUCUUUGACUCUAGUUAUUUGGGCAUUUCACUGUGAGAAAAUUGUGGUGUUUAAAGCAGGCGUCUCGUCUGAUCUUUUGCAGCAUGGUAUGAUGAAACAUGACAUUUUACG